rnacentral:misc_RNA from 1 species
GAUGAAGAACGCAGUGAAAUGCGAUAAGUAAUGUGAAUUGCAGAAUUCAGUGAAUCAUCGAAUCUUUGAACGCACAUUGCGCCCCCUGGUAUUCCGGAGGGCAUGCCUGUCCGAGCGUCAUUACAACCCUCAAGCUCAGCUUGGUGUUGGGCCCCGCCGCCCCGGCGGGCCCUAAAGUCAGUGGCGGUGCCGUCCGGCUCCGAGCGUAGUAAUUCUUCUCGCUCUGGAGGUCCGGUCGUGUGCUCGCCAGCAACCCCCAAUUUUUUUCAGGUUGACCUCGGAUCAGGUAGGGAUACCCGCUGAACUUAAGCAUAUCAAUAAGCGGAGGA